AGAUGUGAGAACAAUUUGGCUGAGACAUCUGUUGCCUCUUUGUUCACCAGUGUUGAUUCUACUGAUCUGAUUGGUGGGACAAAUGCCCUUCUUCCUUCCUCGCUGCUUCAUGUGCACCCCUACCCCCUGAAUCUGUACACACGAAAAACACUGGCAAACAAACAGCAAGGGAAGCCAUGGUCUUGGGUAGGCUUGUU
rnacentral:snRNA from 1 species